rnacentral:rRNA from 1 species
AGAGUUUGAUCAUGGCUCAGGACGAACGCUGGCGGCGCGCCUAACACAUGCAAGUCGAACGAGAACCUCGGGCUUCGGCCUGGGGGGAGAGUGGCGAACGGGUGAGUAACACGUGAGGAACCUGCCCCGGAGACCGGGAUAACCCAAGGAAACUCGGGCUAAUACCGGAUGUCCUCAUUGGACCGCAUGAUCCGAUGAGGAAAUGGAUUCCGCUCCGGGAUGGCCUCGCGGCCUAUCAGCUUGUUGGUGAGGUAACGGCUCACCAAGGCAACGACGGGUAGCUGGUCUGAGAGGACGAUCAGCCACACUGGGACUGAGACACGGCCCAGACUCCUACGGGAGGCAGCAGUGGGGAAUCUUGCGCAAUGGGGGAAACCCUGACGCAGCGACGCCGCGUGCGGGAUGAAGGCCUUCGGGUUGUAAACCGCUUUCAGCAGGGACGAAAUUGACGGUACCUGCAGAAGAAGGCCCGGCCAACUACGUGCCAGCAGCCGCGGUAAUACGUAGGGGCCAAGCGUUGUCCGGGAUUCAUUGGGCGUAAAGAGCUCGUAGGCGGCUUGGCAAGUCGGAUGUGAAAUCCCCGUGCUCAACGCGGGGCGGCCAUCCGAUACUGCUAUGGCUAGAGUCCAGUAGGGGAGUGUGGAAUUCCCGGUGUAGCGGUGAAAUGCGCGAUAUCGGGAGGAACACCAGCGGCGAAGGCGGCACUCUGGGCUGGUAUUGACGCUGAGGAGCGAAAGCGUGGGGAGCGAACAGGAUUAGAUACCCUAGUAGUCC